rnacentral:lncRNA from 1 species
CUAGAUUCAAACCAUAACGUGUUACAUUUCUCUUCCACUUCUCAGCCAGAAGGGUUUGGUUUGAUGAUACUGCAUGUCCCUGACUGAUGCUGAG